rnacentral:rRNA from 1 species
GUAGGUGGCAAGCGUUGUCCGGAAUUAUUGGGCGUAAAGCGCGCGCAGGCGGUUCUUUAAGUCUGAUGUGAAAGCCCACGGCUCAACCGUGGAGGGUCAUUGGAAACUGGAGAACUUGAGUACAGAAGAGGAAAGCGGAAUUCCACGUGUAGCGGUGAAAUGCGUAGAGAUGUGGAGGAACACCAGUGGCGAAGGCGGCUUUCUGGUCUGUAACUGACGCUGAGGCGCGAAAGCGUGGGGAGCAAACAGGGAUUAGAUACCCUGGUAGUCCACGCCGUAAACGAUGAGUGCUAAGUGUUAGGGGGGUUUCCGCCCCCCUUAGUGCUGCAGCUAACGCAUUAAGCACUCCGCCUGGGGAUACGGCCGCAAGGCUG